GCCCAGAUAGCUCAGUCGGUAGAGCAGAGACUAAGUCAUCGUUUGCACUGGUUCGAUUCCAGUUCUGGGCA
rnacentral:tRNA from 1 species